rfam:Candidatus Synechococcus spongiarum 142 NODE_607, whole genome shotgun sequence.
CGGUCUCCACCUGCUGGGGGCAAAUGAAAUGGAUGUGGCUGUCAAUGGCGCCGGCGGUAAGAAUCUGCCCCUCCCCGGCAAUAAUCUCCGUGCCUGGACCAAUCACCACAUCCACCCCAUCCUGAAUAUCGGGGUUGCCCGCUUUGCCGAUGGCGGCAAUCCUGCCGUCCCGCAGUCCCACAUCCGCCUUGACGAUGCCCCACCAAUCCAGGAUCAAGGCAUUGGUGAUGACCGUAUCCAUGGCCCCGUCCUUGCGGCUGACCUGACUCUGGCCCAUGCCAUCCCG